rnacentral:rRNA from 1 species
CCUACCAAGACUGUGAUCAAUAGCUGAUUUGAGAGGAUGAUCAGCCACAUUGGGACUGAGACACGGCCCAAACUCCUACGGGAGGCAGCAGUGGGGAAUCUUGCACAAUGGAGGAAACUCUGAUGCAGCGAUGCCGCGUGAGUGAAGAAGGCCUUUGGGUUGUAAAGCUCUUUCGUCGGGGAAGAAAAUGACUGUACCCGAAUAAGAAGGUCCGGCUAACUUCGUGCCAGCAGCCGCGGUAAUACGAAGGGACCUAGCGUAGUUCGGAAUUACUGGGCUUAAAGAGUUCGUAGGUGGUUGAAAUAGUUGGUGGUGAAAUCCCAGAGCUUAACUCUGGAACUGCCAUCAAAACUUUUCAGCUAGAGUAUGAUAGAGGAAAGCAGAAUUUCUAGUGUAGAGGUGAAAUUCGUAGAUAUUAGAAAGAAUACCAAUUGCGAAGGCAGCUUUCUGGAUCAUUACUGACACUGAGGAACGAAAGCAUGGGUAGCGAAGAGGAUUAGAUACCCUCGUAGUCCAUGCCGUAAACGAUGUGUGUUAGACGUUGGAAAUUUAUUUUCAGUGUCGCAGGGAAACCGAUAAACACACCGCCUGGGGAGUACGACCGCAAGGUUAAAACUCAAAUGAAUUGACGGGGACCCGCACAAGUAGUGGAGCAUGUGGUUUAAUUCGAAGAUACGCGCAGAACCUUACCAACACUUGACAUGUUCGUCGCGACUCUAAGAGAUUAGAGUUUUCGGUUCGGCCGGACGAAACACAGGUGCUGCAUGGCUGUCGUCAGCUCGUGUCGUGAGAUGUUGGGUUAAGUCCCGCAACGAGCGCAACCCUCACUUUUAGUUGCCAUCAUUAAGUUGGGCACUCUGAAAGAACUGCCAGUGAUAAGCUGGAGGAAGGUGGGGAUGACGUCAAGUCCUCAUGGCCCUUACGUGUUGGGCUACACACGUGCUACAAUGGUAUCUACAACAGGAAGCAAGACUGCGAAGUUAAGCAAAUCCCUAAAAGAUACCUCAGUUCGGAUUGCACUCUGCAACUCGAGUGCAUGAAGCUGGAAUUACUAGUAAUCGUAGAUCAGCGUGCUACGGUGAAUGCGUUCCCGGGUCUUGUACACACCGCCCGUCACACCAUGGGAGUUGGUUCUACCUUAAGGCAAGGUUUCAAACCCUUGACCACGGUAUAGUCAGCGACUGGGGUGAAGUCGUAACAAGGUAGCCGUAGGGGAACCUGCGGCUG